CGUGACCCCUUGUGUUGGAGCUGGCAGGGUCCAGUGCUGCAGGAUGGGGCCUGGCAUCCCCAGCCAGGCACACGGCGCUGGAGCUGUGAGCCCCCCUGCAGCAGUGACUGAGGGUUUGUGCCAAUACAGCUGCAGUUGUUCAAGAGGCUUCUCUGUAGUUGGCGAUGACAUGCAGCUCUGUAUUCACACCCACGGUAUCUCCCAUUUCUCCCAUGCACACUCACCUCUGCGGUAUGAUUAUAUGUAGAAAUGAAAAGCAAAUAUGCAGCAGAAACUGAGAGGUCAUAUUCAGUCAUGAUGGAUCGUGGAAACACAGAACAUCCUGAGUUGGAAGGGACCCACAAGGAUCAUCGACUCCAACUCCUGUUGAUGCUGCUAAUCCAAGACGUGUUCUUUGCGCCUGGGGGCAAUGAGGCCGUGGCACAGGCUGCCCAGAGGAGUUGCGGAUGUUCCCUUCCCUGGAAGUGCUCAAAGCCGGGUUGGAUGGGGCUUUGGCCAGCACAUACACUAUUUUGUGCAUAAUCUGUAACAUAAAAGGAAAAUCAACCUUUGUAGUGAUGAAAUCUAUUAAUGUAUAUUAUAUAUAACAUAUAUAAUAUUUACAAUUAAGUAAAUUCUGUUAAACACACGAUAUGAAAAAUUAAAUUUAUAUCUGUAUGUAGAUACACAGACAUGUAUAUGGGAUGGUGCAUGUGAAUGCACACACAGAGUGGGAGGUGGAGGUUAGCGUGUAAGUGCGUGUCUGUAUUUAGUAUAGCAAGCACAUAUUGUCCAUAACCUAUAACAUACGUAGUAAAAGCAAGCCUUUAUAUCAGUAAAACAAAUAAAAAAAAAUCUCUUUGUAAAUGUCUAUGUAUAUAUAAAUCUGUAUUGAUCAAGUAAAUUCUACUAAAUAUGCUAUAUGAAAAUAUAAUCAUGGAAUCUGUAUAUUUAGUUAUAUGGAUAUAUAGAUAUAUAGAUGGAUACAUAUGCAUAUAUAUAUAUAUAUAUAUAUAUAUAUAUACACACACACAGGGGGUGAGAGAGAGUGUGAAUGUGCAUGUAUGUAUAGUGGAACAAGUAAAGUUUGUGCCUGAAGUAUUUUUUUUCUAUAUCUCGAUAGAUAGAUAGAUAGAUAGAUAUGAGAUCUUUGUAUCAAUAAAAUCUACUGUGCGUGUGUGUGUGUGUGUAUAUAUAUAUAUAUAUAAAACUGGUCUCUUAAAAAUAAAUUCUGCUAAAUAACAUAUAUGAAAAU